GGACGGACAGCAGACAACGCCCCCUUCAAGCCUGUUAUAAAAGCCCAGCCUACCGACGGAUGCUCCCCACUUCGGGCAGCAGAGGCAGCGGCAGGAACAAUCGUGCAGCGUCUGACCAUCGUGCUUUCUUUACGCAGACAAUGCCUACGCCUGGCCACAGCAGCUCCCUCAUGCAGACCCCGCAAGCCAAAGGGCCUUAGCAGCAAAUGCAGGCCGCCAUCCCAGCGUGCCCAGCAUGGCGAUCAUGGCGGCCACACCGACAUAAUAUUGGCGAUGAACAUUAACUUUUCGUGUGGGCUCCACAUCGUCAACUGCUG